UUGGUUCCGGCCUAACCGCCGUCACGAUAAGACGUGUUCGAACAUGUUCGGACCUUGUGAUUUUUUUGGAUCGUGUCUUGGAAAUUUCCAAGACUUUACUCUCAAAUUAUAUCAUUAGUCGGAAACUGGCGUAGGGGCAUUACUCUUAUAGAGGCCUGUAGCCAUAUAUUGAAGGAAGGAAGGAAGGAAGGAUAUAAGUGACAUUUAAUUGAAAAGAGAAAUAAAAAUCACACAAAUAAGUGAAAACAUAAUAAAAAAGUGAAAACAAAGUGCAUAUAAAUGAACAAGCUUUUCAGUUUUUUGACGUGCCUUGAUAAACAUCAUUCACGGCUGAAACAUUGUUCUUCGCAUUUGAAUCAUUGUCAACUGAGGAACAAAACCUGUAUAAAAUAAAAGAGAAGCAUAAAGAAGGAAGAUGGAAAGAAGUAAAUGGAGAAUAGACAAAUAUAUAUCAGAUAAGUAGCUAAUAUAUCUCAUAAAAUAAAAAAUUAUAUAUCUUAUGUGUUCUUUGUAACUGUUGAUGUUGGAUCGAUUCUUCUCUUGAAUUAAUUUUUUUGUUCUAGUUUCCCUGCCAAUCAUUUGCUCGCAGAAUAUUAACAGCCAAAAAACAAUUCUUUACAAAGUGAGGCUGCCUAAUUCUGAGCCUACCCUUGUUCUCAAGUGUACCCAAAUUCAAACAGAAUGUAUUGUCCACAUUGGCCAUUGCAAGAAUGGAAUGUAGGAAUGAAAAUGGAAUGCUUGUUCACAAAUCAAGGAUCGAUUUACAAGAGAUAUACAUUUGACAUUAUAAAGAGUAAAAAUAAAUUAUAUAUAUUGUAAAUGGAAGAUGUACAAGGGCUAUGAGAAAUUAAGGAAUCACAAGUCUAGGAAACAGUAAUUAAAAGAAGAAUAGGAAGUAUUAAAAUGUUUAUGAAUUUACUUAUAAAUUUUUAUUUUCCCACUAAUUGUGAUAAUUUAUAUAAAGAGAAUAAAAGGUUCAAAUUUUGAUUAUUUUUUAUUUCGUUCCAAAUUUGUAAUAUAUUAUUUUCUUUUUCUUUCAGGGUAUUUCGUCUAGUUUGCAUUCAAAAUUUCAAAUAUCUCGCGAAACUCCGAAUACAUUUUUGGUGUUCAAGAAGGUAAACUGUAAAUAAUAAUUUAUUUUAAGAAUAGAAAUAAUAUAGAAAAAAUGCUAAAUAAAGUGUUCACAAUAUAUCUAAAAAAUCUACAAUUGUCGUGUGUUUUUUUUAGAUUUGAUCGAUGUUGUCGAUUGUGUGUUUCAGAGGCAUUGUUUGUUCUGUAUAUUUGUUGAAAAACACUGAAGGAAUCGGGUUUAAAACCGUUUAUCUUUUUGUAAUAAUUGAAAAAUGACUGCAAAUACGUGCAAUUCUUGAAAAUAAUUGUUGAUAUUAAUUGGAAGCCUUCUUCUAUUAAUGCGCAUGGUAAAAAAGGCAAAGAUGUUAAUAAUUUGACAGCACUGCAACCUGAUUCUUUUUG